rnacentral:rRNA from 1 species
GACGAACGCUGGCGGCGUGCUUAACACAUGCAAGUCGAACGGAAAGGCCCUGCUCUUGCGGGGUGCUCGAGUGGCGAACGGGGGAGUAACACGCGAGUAACCUGCCCUUGACUGAGGGAUAACUUCAGGAAACUGGGGCUAAUACCGGAUAGGAGCUCCUGCUGCAUGGUGGGGGUUGGAAAGAGUCGGCGGUUGGGGCUGGACUCGCGGCUUAUCAGCUUGUUGGGGGGGUAGGGGCUUACCAAGGCUUUGACGGGUAGCCGGCCUGAGAGGGUGACCGGCCUCAUGAGUCCUGCGAUACGGCCCAGCAUCCUACGGUACGCAGCAGUGGGGAGUCUGGCGCAGUGGCCGGAAGCCUGAUGCAGAGGCCCCGCGAGCGGAAUAACGGCCUUCGGGUUGUAAACCGCUUUCGCCUGUGCCGAAGCGUGAGUGACGGUAAUGGGUAAGGAAGCACCGGCUAACUACGUG